AUUCCAUUAUGUUGACACUUUAGAACUAUCUCCUUAAACCUCUCCCAUGCUUAAAAAUAGUCUCAGUCUCUCUCUGGCAAAAGUUAUAGAAUUCUCUUCUGAACUU
ncrna:Nicotiana tabacum cultivar TN90 Ntab-TN90_scaffold2516, whole genome shotgun sequence